rnacentral:lncRNA from 1 species
AGGGGCCAUACAGACUCCGCCGUGGCUCUCAGCAACGGUUGGUCUGCUGUGCGUUUUUCUUUUUCUUUUUUUUUCUCCUUUUCUGUUCUGAUCUGGUCUAUUUGCCAUGUUCAAAUUCUGGCAUCAAUUAACAGAGAGUUGGAGGUAGAAUAAUUGUAAUGAUGCAAUAUUUCACAGCCAGUGGCUGCAGAGGAGCAGUUCCUCUCCUCGACCCUGGGCCUUUGUGGCAGUCCCUGUGAGCAUGGGCAGGACACCCCACCUCCUCGAGCACAGCUCGGAGUGGGCCAUCCAGUUGAACCGGCACCAUGUCUGUUCUUCUGCUCUGCCUAAUGCAACCAGCACCAGUGCAUGUGGCCCCUGAGCAUGCAAAAUGCAGCCAGUGGCACCGAGGUCCUGAAUUUCAAUGCAACUUAGAUUAAUGUGGAUUUAAGUAGCCCUCUGUGGCUAGGGACUGCCACAUUGGACCACCCGGCUCUACAGACCCUCUGUAUCCAUCUCCAGGAAGUGACCCAUGUUGAGCUGAACGCCGACAUACCCUCCGAGGUGGCUUCUGUCCCCGCUGAGGUGCCCCCAGCAUCUCGAGAAGGUGCAGAGCUGGAAGUGUAGAAGAGGGGGACACGCUGGGGGAGGGAUUAGGAGCACUGUGGUGAUUGGGAAUGCGGAAAUCCAUUUGUCCCUGCGGCCUUGCUCGUAGCCACAUCAAUAAAAGAAGUUUCUCAUCUCAGAAGGA